rnacentral:piRNA from 1 species
GUCACGGAUCUCAGGGCUGAUGUAAGU